CCCCGGGGCGCCCCGGCCCGCUCGCCGCACCUGUGGCACGCGUGGCACCCGCUGCAGAACCCUCGGGUGCCCGUCGCGCCCCUCGCACCCAUUGCAUACGCUGCACCCGUUGCAUGCACUGCACCCAUUGCACCCGUUGCACGCAUUGCACUCAUUGCACCCGUUGCAUGCACUGCACCCGUUGCAUUUGCUGCAUGCAUCACACCCAUUGCACCCGUUGCAUGCGUUGCACCCCUUGCAUGCACUGCACCCAUUGCACCUGUUGCAUGCGUUGCACCAGUUGCACCCGUUGCAUGCAUUGCACUCAUUGCACCCGUUGCAUGCACUGCACCCGUUGCAUUUGCUGCAUGCAUCACACCCGUUGCACCCGUUGCAUGCACUGCACCCGUUGCAUGCACUGCACCCGUUGCAUUUGCUGCAUGCAUUGCACCCGUUGCACGCGUUGCGCCCGUUGCGCCCGUUGCAGCUAUUGCAUGUGUUGCACCCCGUUGCGUCCCUUGCACCCCUCAUGCCUGUCGCGUGCGUUGCGCCCGCUGCACCCAUUGCUUCUGCCGCAUGCACCGCACCCCGUUGCAAAGCCCAUUUGCACCCAUCACGUGCGUGGCGCCCCCGUUGUGUGCAAUGCGCCCGUUGCAACGCCCAUUUGCACCCAUUGCACCCCGCUGCACCCAUUGCACCCGUUGCAAAGCCCAUUCGCACCCAUUGCACCCCACUGCACACACUGCACCCAUUGCAACACCCAUUUCCACCCAUUGCACCCCGCUGCACCCAUUGCAAAAUCCAUUGCACCCCACUGCACGCAUUGCACCCAUUGCAACACCCAUUUGCACCCUGCUGCACCCAUUGCACCCCAUUGCACCCCAUUGCACCCCGCCGCCGCCCCGCGCCCGCCGCAGCACCCGGCACCUGCCGCCUCGGUGGCGUUUUCGUCCUGCGCGGGGUCGUCGCAGCCCCAGGGCUCGGCCGGGAGCCGCUCGGGGGCGAACGUCACCUGCGGCGUCACCCACAGCACCGGGCGCGACCUGCGGGGAGGCGCCGUGGGCCGGGGGGACCCC
rnacentral:lncRNA from 1 species